AUCAAGCCCCAUUUCUCUUUGUCUUCUGACACACGUGUGGAGUUCGCAUGUCACACCGCCGGCGACCAUGCCUACGUCAGCGUCGACUCACCGGCCGGAGGACCUGCUUACGCGGCUGCGCUCCGCCAACGCCGAAGCCGACGCCAAACUCAAAGCCCUAAGGGAGGUCAAGAACCAGAUCAUCGGUAACCGCACCAAGAAGCUCUCAUACAUCAAGCUUGGCGCCGUCCCUGCCGUUGUCUCCGUUCUCGCCGCUACCGCCGACGACUGCUCCUCCGUCCUCGUCCAGUCCGCCGCUGCCAUCGGCAGCUUCGCCUGCGGCUUUGAAGCUGGCGUUCAGGCGGUGCUCCGCGCCGGCGCUUUUCCUCAUUUGUUGCGCCUUCUCUCCAAUUCUAAUGGAAAGGUUGUGGAUGCUGGUGCUCGUUCCCUUAGAAUGAUUUAUCAAUCAAAACUGGCUCCAAAGUAUGAUUUUCUUCAAGAGAAAAACAUGGAAUUUCUUCUUUCAUUGUUAAAUAGUGAAAACGAAAAUGUUACUGGACUUGGUGCAAGUAUCAUUACACAUUCUUGUGAGACAAGUGCAGAGCAGAACGCAUUGUGUGAUGCUGGGGUCUUAAAGAAACUUAUUGGUCUUCUUCAAGGUUCUCUAAGUCAGAGAGAUGCUAGUUUAGAGUCUAUUGCCACAGUUAUCAGGAGCAAUCCUGAAGUUGUUUCAAAGUUUGUGGGACCUGAAAAUGGAAGAGCCUUAAGUGCCGUAACUGAGUUAACAAAGGAUAGGUACCCCCGGACAAGGUUACUUGCCUGCAUGUGCUUGAUUGUUGUAAGGAACACUUCUCCUGGCUUACAGGAUCUAGCAAUUCGAACCAAAUUGAUUCUAAUACUACUUGAGCUUCUUGAUGAUCCUGGUCAAGUUGGAGAUGAAGCUUCUUUUGCUUUGUCUAGUCUAAUUGCAGAAAAGGAGGAUUUACAGAAACUAGCAUUCGAGGAAAAUGCUAUUGAUAAACUUUGCAACCACUUGCAGAAAGGUUCUUUACAGGCUAAACGCUUCCAAGGAAUAUUGCUGGCAUUGGCUGAUCUAUGCUCAAAGUUGGAAAACUGCAGGUCCAGGUUCCUAGCAUUGCAGGUCAUGAACUCGGUAAUUGAUGCAUUAACUCAUGAUAGUGGUGAAGUACGUGCUGCGGCUUGCAUUUGCUUAAGAAGUGUCUCUCGGUCGGUCAAGAACCUGAGUGCAGGUAACUUUAUGAAUGAAACAGUUGUGAUUCCCUUGGUUCAGCUUUUAUCCGACACUUCUACUUCUGUUCAGGUUGCAGCUCUUGGUGCUAUUAGCAACAUAGUAGUUGAUUUUACAACACAUAAGUCAAUUUUUAUGCAAUGUGGAGGUGUUAAGCAGCUUGUUCAGUUAUCAAAAUCAAUGGAUCCAACAAUCAGAUUAAAUUCCGUAUGGGGUUUGAGGAACUUGAUGUUCCUUGCGGAUAACAGGUGCAAAGAAGGGAUCUUUUUGGAGCUCACUGCAUCCUUGUUAGCAAGCCUUAUUUGUGAUCCCGAGCCAUCUGUCCAAGAGCAAGCCCUUGGUCUUGUCCGCAAUCUUGUUGAUGGCUGUAUCAACUCUGUUGAGUAUGUAUUUGUUGAAGAUAGUAUUAUAUUACAAGCUGUUGGAAAGCAAUUGCAAAGCACUUUGAAAGCUGAAGUUGGGAUUCAGGGAAUGUAUGUGCUCAGCAAUGUGGCAACUGGAAAUGAGUUCCAUAAGGAAGCAGUAAUGCAUCAACUUUUUCCACAAGCAGGCAACAGCACCCAACCUAUUAUUAUCAAAUUUUUGCAGAGUAAUGACAGCAGGCUACGCACGGCAGCAGUCUGGACAGUCUUAAAUCUCACUUUUCCACGCAGUCUCGGUGCCUAUGGUCGGUUUGUAAAACUAUGCAGUGCUGGCGUAUUAUCUCAAAUAAAGAAUAUGGCCAAUGAUCCCUGCCUGGAUGUAAAGCUUCGUGUUAGAACAGUGCUUGGGCAGUCUCUGACUUUUGGUGAUGGAUCUACUUGAUGCUGUUUUAUCUUUCAUUGAUCCUGAGAGCUGAGGAAAGAAUUUUGAUGCUAUCUGGUGCUUGGGCUCCACCCUGUUUUGUAAGAUAUCAUACACCCUUUUUUGCGGAGGCCUGCUACGACAUGGUGUAACCCAUUGAUUUCAGUUUUUCCAUCCAGAGCAGUGGUGUGGCUUGCCAGGCAAAUGGGUACUGAUGAUCAGUUUCAAAAGUCCCGAACCAUGAUGCAGCCCACAUUCUUGUUUCUUGUUUUCUGAUAAUGUAACACUGUACCUACUGCCUUUCAGCAUUUAUCAGAUUAUUAAAGCUGUAUCUUCGGGCUACCCUCGCAAAAAAACUGUUGUAUGGAGCAGAUGUUCCUCUCUUUUUAAAUUUAAAGGCUUUAGGUAUGCUUUGAAAUUUGCUCA